rnacentral:rRNA from 1 species
AUUGAACGCUGGCGGCAUGCUUUACACAUGCAAGUCGAACGGUAACAGGCCGCAAGGUGCUGACGAGUGGCGAACGGGUGAGUAAUGCAUCGGAACGUGCCCAGUCGUGGGGGGUAACGCAGCGAAAGCUGCGCUAAUACCGCAUACGAUCUAUGGAUGAAAGCGGGGGACCGUAAGGCCUCGCGCGAUUGGAGCGGCCGAUGGCAGAUUAGGUAGUUGGUGGGGUAAAGGCUCACCAAGCCAACGAUCUGUAGCUGGUCUGAGAGGACGACCAGCCACACGGGGGCUGAGACACGGGCCAGACUCCUACGGGAGGAAGCGGUGGGGAAUUUUGGACAAUGGGCGCAAGCCUGAUCCAGCAAUGCCGCGUGCAGGAAGAAGGCCUUCGGGUUGUAAACUGCUUUUGUACGGAACGAAACGGUCCUGGUUAAUACCUGGGGCUAAUGACGGUACCGUAAGAAUAAGCACCGGCUAACUACGUGCCAGCCGCCGCUGUAACAC